GCAUAACGCGAAGAACCUUACCAGGGCUUGACAUGCCCCUGACCGCAUCAGAGAUGGUGCUUUACCUUCGGGUACAGGGGACACAGGUGGUGCAUGGUUGUCGUCAGCUCGUGUCGUGAGAUGUUGGGUUAAGUCCCGCAACGAGCGCAACCCUUGCCUUUAGUUGCCAGCAUUAAGUUGGGCACUCUAGAGGGACUGCCGAUGAUAAAUCGGAGGAAGGUGGGGAUGACGUCAAAUCAUCAUGCCCUUUAUGUCCUGGGCUACACACGUGCUAUAAUGGUCGGUACAACGAGCAGCUACCUAGCGAUAGGAUGCAAAUCUCUAAAAGCCGAUCCCAGUUCAGAUUGUAGGCUGCAACUCGCCUACAUGAAGUCGGAAUCGCUAGUAAUGGCGCAUCAGCAACGGCGCCGUGAAUACGUUCCCGGGUCUUGUACACACCG
rnacentral:rRNA from 1 species